UUAGACAAAGGAGCGGUUAUAAAUAGCAACGUAUAUCGCGUCUAUUCUUCCAUAGCAGGCAGCUUUAGGGUUUCUCCAGUUUAGUUAGGGUUUUUACUCCAUCUUUUCGAAAUAUCUCUCUUUCUAUCAAGCGCCGCCCUUAAGAUCGCCUUCCUUAUAAAAUGGAAGCGUUUUGAGUCAUAGCUGCGCAAUAUUAAACUUUUUUUAGGAGUUUCUCCAUAGGGUUUUCCUAUCGAGUUUCUCUGUCUUCCGUCCUGAGUUAUCUUCCGGAGGCAUUUUCUUUGUCUUUGGAUCUGUUUGCUUGUCCUGUUUUUUGAACUGCUAGUGUAUCAUAUCUGUGGUCGGUUUUGAUAAAUGCAAGGAAUUGUCUUGUAUCAUAUCUGUGGCUGUGAAGAGCUUUUGCCUCCUCAAUCCCCUGAUGUUUGAAGCUUUCUACCAAUGCCACUUUUUUCUCUUCAUUAUCUUCGUUGAGCCGUUCCCUAUCAUCUAAGAGGUUUAAUUUGUAAUGAGAUGCCAACGUCGCUGUGUUAUCCGUAGUCGUUAGCAUGAGGCCAAAUAAGAGAAGACAAUAAGUUCGAGGGUUUUUGAUAUUCCUGGAAGAGGCAGUGUUGUAAAAGUAAAAAGAAGCAAUUUGAGGCAAUAAGAGAAGACAAAAUGCAUAAUUCUCA